rnacentral:lncRNA from 1 species
CCGCUACCGCAAGGCUAUUUUCCGACGGUUUUCCAUCCAAAUUUCUGGUCUUCUUCAACCUCCCAUCAACCCCAAACACCUGCAAGAUAUCCUAGCAUCCUAAUUGACCCAAAAAUCAAUGAGUUUCAUGGUGAUUUCGCGAAGAACACCUACACGGGUGCCGUGAGACCUUUUCUCAAAUCUACCAAUUCUGAAGCAAUUUCCUUCAAUUACCACUACCAUUAGACUCCCCUAGAACCCAGAAACAAAGCCCAGGCAAUGGUGGAGGCGUCAGAGCAAGUUUGGGGGUCGAAUUGAAGAACACCCAAUUCUAAGGUUUCGCACGGGUUUGAGCAAAUUGGAGCCUUUCUAGGCCAAAUUGGCCUUGGACUCAGGUAUAAAGUUUACUCUACUCAUUGAGAUAUUCAUUUCUGCAAAAUUUGGUAAUUUUUGGAAAUAGUUGGAUUUUCCGGCAAGCCGAGGCGGCUGACCGCCACCCACGGCGGCGUGUGGCCAGUAAGCCGCCAAUGCCACUUUUAGGCCAUAAUUUAUGUUCUGAAUUUAUUUUUGGUGAAUGAAUGACGUAUGAUGAUCAUUCAAACCUAAAUUCGUUACGAUGCGUGGUUAGGCCAAAACAUGAAUUGAUGAUCCGACCGUUGGAUCGUCACUAAACUUUGAUACGUUGUAAUACGUAAUAUUUGAGGAUUAUAGGAACUUAUAGAUCGAGAAUAUGAUUUAUAGAUCUUUCGGAAUUGGAGUUGUAAGUUCAUAAGAUAGAAUGUUAACCAUCACUUGGUUUUGGCAAUUGACGGAGAUUCGACCGUUGGAUGGUAAUGAAAUUUUAGGAUGUUGUCCUAG